rnacentral:rRNA from 1 species
UACGUAGGGACCGAGCGUUGUCCGGAUUCAUUGGGCGUAAAGAGCUCGUAGGCGGCUGUUCAAGUCGAACGUGAAAACUCGGAGCUCAACUCCGGGCCUGCGUUCGAUACUGGACGGCUAGAGUCUGGUAGGGGGAUCUGGAAUUCCUGGUGUAGCGGUGGAAUGCGCAGAUAUCAGGAAGAACACCCGUGGCUAAGGCGGCUCUCUAGUACGGUACUGACGCUGAGACGCGAAAGCGUGGGGAGCGAACAGG